GCGGGCUUGGAUUCAUGAUGCUGUGGGCCCGCAUCACAGCGCGUCAAGCGAGCGAUCACGGGGAUCUCCAGACGCUCGUCGGUACAGCCGCUGACUGCUUAAAGUAGGCCGUUGAGGGAAGCUCGCAUUGCUCUCAUCGCUCCGAAUUUCAUGUAGCAGUCGCGCCGCAUGCCGUGGAGGGGUGAGCUGUGUUGGCAGCUCAGAAGAUGCGGGACGCCG
rnacentral:sRNA from 12 species